UGGAGGGGGAUAACUACUGGAAACGGUAGCUAAUACCGCAUAACGUCGCAAGACCAAAGAGGGGGACCUUCGGGCCUCUUGCCAUCGGAUGUGCCCAGAUGGGAUUAGCUAGUAGGUGGGGUAACGGCUCACCUAGGCGACGAUCCCUAGCUGGUCUGAGAGGAUGACCAGCCACACUGGAACUGAGACACGGUCCAG
rnacentral:rRNA from 1 species